UUGGAGUCCCAGCCAGUGUUUCCAGGUUCUUGAAGUUUUAUUCAAGGAAUUGAAAAACAUGUACAAGGGUUGUAAAGUAGCAAGCAAAGCGAUAGCGCAGGACAGAAGCAGAUUUGCUAUCCAGAAUGACAGCUGGCCCAGGAGUGAGAGUCUCCAGAAACUCUCAGCUGUGGCAUGGAGCUUCCUCUAUGGAGUUCAAGAAGAGGAAGGACUUGGUUGGAUGAAGAACUGUGGUGUGGUCCAAG
rnacentral:lncRNA from 1 species